GAUGAAGGAACGCAGCGAAAUGCGAUAAGUAAUGUGAAUUGCAGAAUUCAGUGAAUCAUCGAAUCUUUGAACGCACAUUGCGCCCGCCAGUAUUCUGGCGGGCAUGCCUGUUCGAGCGUCAUUUCAACCAUCAAGCCCCCGGCUUGUGUUGGGGACCUGCGGCUGCCGCAGGCCCUGAAAAGCAGAGGCGGGCUCGCUGUCACACCGAGCGUAGUAGCAUACAUCUCGCUCUGGGCGUGCUGCGGGUUCCGGCCGUUAAACCACCUUCAUAACCCAAGGUUGACCUCGGAUCAGGUAGGAAGACCCGCUGAACUUAAGCAUAUCAAUAAGCGGAGGA
rnacentral:misc_RNA from 1 species